UACGGAGGGUGCAAGCGUUGUCCGGAUUUAUUGGGGUUAAAGGGUGCGUAGGCGGCUAAUUAAGUCAGCGGUGAAAUUCCACAGCUUAACUGUGAGAACUGCCAUUGAUACUGGUUGGCUUGAGUACAGAUGAGGUAGGCGGAAUUGACAGUGUAGCGGUGAAAUGCUUAGAUAUUGUCAAGAACACCUAUUGCGAAGGCAGCUUACUAAACUGUAACUGACGCUGAGGGACGAAAGCGUGGGGAUCAAACAGG
rnacentral:rRNA from 1 species